rnacentral:rRNA from 1 species
UACGAAGGAUCCUAGCGUUGUCCGGAUUUACUGGGUUUAAAGGGAGCGUAGGCGGACUUUUAAGUCAGUGGUGAAAGCCUGCAGCUUAACUGUAGAAUUGCCAUUGAAACUGAUUGUCUCGAGUGCGGUUGAGGUCACUGGAAUGUAUCAUGUAGCGGUGAAAUGCUUAGAUAUGAUACAGAACACCAAUUGCGAAGGCAGGUGACUAAGCCGUAACUGACGCGAG